ACGUAGGAGACGAGCGUUAUCCGGAGUUACUGGGCGUAAAGCGCGUGUAGGUGGUCUAUUACGUCUGCUGUGAAAGCGCACGGCUCAACCGGGUGCAUGCGGCAGAUACGGGCAGACUAGAGGGUGACAGAGGAGCGUAGAAUUCCGGGUGUAGUGGUGAAAUGCGUAGAGAUCCGGAGGAAUACCAGUGGCGCAAGCGGCGCUCUGGGUCGCGCCUGACACUGAGACGCGAAGGCAUGGGGAGCGAACGGGAUUAGAAACCCCGGUAGUCCAUGCAGUAAACGAUGCAGACUGGGUGUGGGGGACGCAAGUCUUCUGUGCCGAAGCCAACGCGCUAAGUCUGCCGCCUGGGAAGUACGGUCGCAAGACUA
rnacentral:rRNA from 1 species